rnacentral:lncRNA from 1 species
GAGUUUCCGGGGGUGUGUUUGGAGGAGUUUCUGGUGGUGUGGUUGGAGGUGUCUUUGGUGUGUUUGGAGGAGUUCCCGGUGGUGUGUUUGGAGGUGUUUCUGGUGGAGUAUUUGGAGGACUUUGUGGGGGGGUGUUUGGUGGAGUUUCUGGUGGUGUGAUUGGAGGAGUUUCUGGUGGUGUGGUUGGAGGUGUCUCCGGUGGUGUGUUUGGAGGAGUUCCUGGUGGUGUGUUUGGAAGUGUCUCUGGUGGUGUGUUUGGAGGAGUUCCCGGUGGUGUGUUUGGAGGUGUUUCUGGUGGAGUAUUUGGAGGACUUUGUGGGGGGGUGUUUGGUGGAGUUUCUGGUGGUGUGAUUGGAGGAGUUUCUGGUGGUGUUGUUGGAGGUGUCUCCGGUGGUGUGUUUGGAGGAGUUCCUGGUGGUGUGUUUGGAAGUGUCUCCGGUGGUGUGUUUGGAGGAGUUCCCGGUGGUGUGUUUGGAGGUGUUUCUGGUGGAGUAUUUGGAGGACUUUGUGGGGGUGUGUUUGGUGGAAUUUCCGGUGGUGUGGUUGGAGAAGUUUCCGGUGGUGUGUUUGGAGAAGUUUCUGGUGGUGUGGUUGGAGGUGUCUCCGGUGGUGUGGUUGGAGGUGUCUCCGGUGGUGUGUUUGGAGGAGUUCCCGGUGGUGUGUUUGGAGGUAUUUCCGGUGGAGUGUUUGGAGGACUUUCUGGGGGCGUGUUUGGUGGAGUUUCUGGUGGUGUUGUUGGAGGUGUCUCCGGUGGCGUGUUUGGUGGAAGCGUUGGUGGAGUCUGUGGUGGUGUGUUAG